rnacentral:tRNA from 1 species
AAGGGAGACCUAAUUCAGGUAUAAGACGAAAAAAAAGUAGUCCCUACCAAGAAUCAAUCCCAAAAGGUCGGAACGAGGUAUGAGGCUUUCAAACUAGGUUCUGGGUUCAUAAAAGACCUGAAUCAGGAACAAGGGCUAUUAGCUCAGGUGGUUAGAGCGCACCCCUGAUAAGGGUGAGGUCCCUGGUUCGAGUCCAGGAUGGCCCACCUGCACAGGUGGCAAAAACAAAGAAGCUCCGAAUCAGCACCUUAUCUUACUUAUAUAGUAAGAGAGAAUGCUGGCUCUGAGUUCAGAGUCCAGAGGAACCUUGAAAGCUGCAUAGAGCUAGGUGAAAAAGCCAAAAAAGAAGACCGCAAGGUCAAGCUAAUAAGGGCUAACGGUGGAUACCUAGGCAC